ACAAGCGGUGGAGUAUGUGGUUUAAUUCGACGCAACGCGCAGAACCUUUACCUGGUCUUGACAUCCCGGGAAUCUUUCUGAAAGGAGAGAGUGCCUCGCAAGAGGAGCCUGGUGACAGGUGCUGCAUGGCUGUCGUCAGCUCGUGUCGUGAGAUGUUCGGGUUAAGUCCCGCAACGAGCGCAACCCUUGUCUUUAAUUGCCAGCAUUCAGUUGGGCACUUUAAAGAGACUGCCGGUGUUAAGCCGGAGGAAGGUGGGGAUGACGUCAAGUCCUCAUGGCCCUUAUAGGUGGGGCUACACACGUCAUACAAUGGCUGGUACAAAGGGUUGCCAACCCGCGAGGGGGAGCCAAUCCCAUAAAGCCAGUCGUAGUCCGGAUCGCAGUCUGCAACUCGACUGCGUGAAGUCGGAAUCGCUAGUAAUCGUGGAUCAGCAUGUCACGGUGAAUACGUUCCCGGGUCUU
rnacentral:rRNA from 1 species